GUUAGGAGCAGAGCUGGGGUGGGAGGGGUCUUUGGAAAGCUGUUUGGAGAAGGUGUGACUUGCACACAGUCAUGAAGAAAUGUUAUAUGGGGAUGGCAAAGAAGAAAGAAGGGAGGGAGUUCUCUGGCAGUCCAGUGAUUAAGACUCCAUGCUCCCAAGUGGUUAAGAAUCCGCCUGCCGGUGCAGUGCAGAUUUCCAUCCCUGGUCUGCGAAGAUUCCACCUGCCCGGGAGGCAACUAAGCCCUUGUGCCACAACUACUGAGCCUGUGCUCUGGAGCCCACAAGCCGCAAAUACUGAAGACUACGUGCCCUACAGCCCUUGCUCCGCAACAAGAGAAGCCACCGCAAUGGGAAGGCUGUGCACCCCAAUGAAGAAUAGCCCCUGCUCGCUACAACUAGAGAAAGCCUGCAUGCAGCAACAAAGACCCAGAGCAGCCAGAAAUUAAUAAAAUUUUAAAACAAACAAACCAAAAAACCCCCAGUGAGCUCCUGAGUCAGCAGCCCAGCCAUGGUGGCUGCUCCUGGCUGUGAUGGGUUCAGCUCUGCCCCAUCUGUUUCUUAUCCCAGGACCUGGGUUGAAGGAGCAGUGGCUGCAGGAGGCGUGCUCUUCUCAGGCUGCAAGGCUGAAGCCGAGGAGGCCAAGUCAUCCAAGCAAGCACAUUUGAGACCUCUGCCUGGAUGUGGACGAGCGACAUUCCAUCGGGCUUUAAGCUCCAUGGGAAUGGAGUACCCUGCACUUGCAUCCGCCACAUUCAGGCUCUGAAUUCAGGGCUGGAUUGAGCUCAGGGCAAGAAAGAUUUUCCACCUGGGUUCGCCAGGGAGGCCCCUCUGUGCUGCCGAGAGGCCCCCACAGGGCAAGCCAGCAGUGCCCCUGAGCUUGGCUUGCUCACACGAAAGCAGGAAUGACCUCGAUCAUGGUGUCUCGGCAGUGUUGGAGCCGGCACGGCCUGCUGGGCUCAGCCUCAGGACGGGAGCUGCCAUGCCGUCUGCCUUCUCCAUGCCAGCCGUCACCCCAGUCUGUCAUCCCCAGGGAAUCUAUUAGCAUCUCUCGACUUGCACAAGGCUUGGUAAAUCAGGCUCCCUGUGUGGCAGUAUUCACUGGAGACCAGAGAAAGGGACCCGGAGA
ensembl:lncRNA